rnacentral:rRNA from 1 species
UACGUAGGGUGCGAGCGUUAAUCGGAAUUACUGGGCGUAAAGCGUGCGCAGGCGGUUUUGUAAGCCAGAUGUGAAAGCCCCGGGCUUAACCUGGGAAUGGCAUUUGGGACUGCAAGGCUUGAGUGCGGCAGAGGAGACUGGAAUUCCUGGUGUAGCAGUGAAAUGCGUAGAUAUCAGGAAGAACACCUAUGGCGAAGGCAGCUCUCUGGGACGGUACUGACGCUGAGACGCGAAAGCGUGGGGAGCGAACAGG